GUUGUAUGGUUAAGUGACUAAGCGUACACGGUGGAUGCCUUGGCAGUCAGAGGCGAUGAAAGACGUAUUAACUUGCGAUAAGCCCAGAUUAGGUAGUAAAAACCUUUUGAGUCUGGGAUUUCUGAAUGGGGAAACCCACUAGCAUAAGCUAGUAUCGCUGCGUGAAUACAUAGCGCAGCGAAGCAAACCGGGAGAACUGAAACAUCUAAGUACCCCGAGGAAGAGAAAUCAACCGAGAUCCCGAAAGUAGCGGCGAGCGAAAUUGGGUUAGCCCUUAAGCUUUUAAUGAGACAGGUGAAGCCUCUGGAAAGUGGCGCGAUACAAGGUGAUAGCCCUGUAACCGACAUCUCAUCAUCAGUGAAAACGAGUAAGGCGGGACACGUGAUAUCCUGUCUGAAUAUGGGGGGACCAUCCUCCAAGGCUAAAUACUACUGACUGACCGAUAGUGAACCAGUACCGUGAGGGAAAGGCGAAAAGAACCCCUGUGAGGGGAGUGAAAUAGAACCUGAAACCGUGUACGUACAAGCAGUAGGAGCAUACUUGUUAUGUGACUGCGUACCUUUUGUAUAAUGGGUCAGCGACUUAUAUUCAGUGGCAAGGUUAACCGUUUAGGGGAGCCGUAGGGAAACCGAGUCUUAACUGGGCGUUCAGUCUCUGGAUAUAGACCCGAAACCAAGUGAUCUAGCCAUGGGCAGGUUGAAGAUUGAGUAACAUCAAUUGGAGGACCGAACCGACUAAUGUUGAAAAAUUAGCGGAUGACUUGUGGCUAGGGGUGAAAGGCCAAUCAAACUUGGAGAUAGCUGGUUCUCCCCGAAAUCUAUUUAGGUAGAGCCUCGGACGAAUACUACUGGGGGUAGAGCACUGUUAAGGCUAGGGGGUCAUCCCGACUUACCAACCCUUUGCAAACUCCGAAUACCAGUAAGUACUAUCCGGGAGACACACGGCGGGUGCUAACGUCCGUCGUGGAGAGGGAAACAACCCAGACCGCCAGCUAAGGUCCCAAAGUUAUAGCUAAGUGGGAAACGAUGUGGGAAGGCUCAGACAGCCAGGAUGUUGGCUUAGAAGCAGCCAUCAUUUAAAGAAAGCGUAAUAGCUCACUGGUCGAGUCGGCCUGCGCGGAAGAUGUAACGGGGCUAAGCUAUACACCGAAGCUGCGGCAAUGCGCUUUUUCUUUUAUUAGAGAAAGUUGUGUUGGGUAGGGGAGCGUUCUGUAAGCCGUCGAAGGUGUGCUGUAAGGCAUGCUGGAGGUAUCAGAAGUGCGAAUGCUGACAUGAGUAACGAUAAAGGGGGUGAAAAACCCCCUCGCCGGAAGACCAAGGGUUCCUGUCCAACGUUAAUCGGGGCAGGGUAAGUCGACCCCUAAGGCGAGGCCGAAAGGCGUAGUCGAUGGGAAACGGGUUAAUAUUCCCGUACUUCUUAUAAUUGCGAUGGGGGGACGGAGAAGGCUAGGUGGGCUUGGCGACGGUCGUCCAAGUUCAAGUGCGUAGGCUAAGAGUUUAGGUAAAUCCGGACUCUUGUUAGGCUGAGACACGAUGUCGAGCUACUACGGUAGUGAAGCCAUUGAUGCCAUGCUUCCAGGAAAAGCCUCUAAGCUUCAGAUUAUAAGAAAUCGUACCCCAAACCGACACAGGUGGUCGAGUAGAGAAUACUAAGGCGCUUGAGAGAACUCGGGUGAAGGAACUAGGCAAAAUGGUACCGUAACUUCGGGAGAAGGUACGCUCCUAGCGGUGAUGAGACUUGCUCUCUAAGCUGCUGGGAGUCGCAGAUACCAGGUGGCUGCAACUGUUUAUUAAAAACAUAGCACUGUGCUAAAUCGUAAGAUGACGUAUACGGUGUGACGCCUGCCCGGUGCUUGAAGGUUAAUUGAUGGGGUUAGACUUCGGUCGAAGCUCUUGAUCGAAGCCCAAGUAAACGGCGGCCGUAACUAUAACGGUCCUAAGGUAGCGAAAUUCCUUGUCGGGUAAGUUCCGACCUGCACGAAUGGCGUAAUGAUGGCCACGCUGUCUCCACCCGAGACUCAGUGAAAUUGAAAUCGCUGUGAAGAUGCAGUGUACCCGCGGCUAGACGGAAAGACCCCGUGAACCUUUACUACAGCUUGGCACUGAACAUUGACCCUACAUGUGUAGGAUAGGUGGGAGCCUUUGAAGCAAGUACGCUAGUAUUUGUGGAGGCAAUCUUGAAAUACCACCCUUGUAUGCUUGAUGUUCUAACGUUGGCCCCUUAUCGGGGUUGCGGACAGUGCCUGGUGGGUAGUUUGACUGGGGCGGUCUCCUCCCAAAGAGUAACGGAGGAGCACGAAGGUGGGCUAAACACGGUUGGACAUCGUGUGGUUAGUGCAAUGGCAUAAGCCCGCUUGACUGCGAGAAUGACAAUUCGAGCAGGUGCGAAAGCAGGUCAUAGUGAUCCGGUGGUUCUGAAUGGAAGGGCCAUCGCUCAACGGAUAAAAGGUACUCCGGGGAUAACAGGCUGAUACCGCCCAAGAGUUCAUAUCGACGGCGGUGUUUGGCACCUCGAUGUCGGCUCAUCACAUCCUGGGGCUGAAGUCGGUCCCAAGGGUAUGGCUGUUCGCCAUUUAAAGUGGUACGCGAGCUGGGUUUAGAACGUCGUGAGACAGUUCGGUCCCUAUCUGCCGUGGGCGUUGGAUGAUUGAAAGGGGCUGCUCCUAGUACGAGAGGACCGGAGUGGACGAACCUCUGGUGUUCGGGUUGUUACGCCAGUAGCAUUGCCCGGUAGCUAAGUUCGGGAUCGAUAAACGCUGAAAGCAUCUAAGCGUGAAGCGAGCCUUGAGAUGAGUCAUCCCUGAUACUUUAAGUAUCCUAAAGGGUUGUUGGAGACUACGACGUUGAUAGGCAGGGUGUGUAAGUGCUGCGAGGCAUUGAGCUAACCUGUACUAAUUGCCCGUGAGGCUUAACCAUACAACACCCAAGGGGUUU
rnacentral:rRNA from 1 species